rnacentral:tRNA from 2 species
GCCUCGGUAGCUCAGUCCCGGUUAGAGCGCACCCUUGGUAAGGGUGAGGUCGCGGGUUCGACUCCCGCCCGGGGCU